UCCCCCCUCACCCUGCACUGGCACAGUCGAAAAAUCCUUCUGUCCUUCCUGUGAGCAUGUGUUUAUCUCUUUAUUUUUAAAUGUUAUGGCUUCCCAACAUCUGUCUCUGUGGGGUAUAAUCUUACUGAUGAAAUAUUUCAUGUUUUCCUUGAGCCCCUGUCAAUAUGUUUCCCUGUUAUCAGCUUAACAGAUGGAGCCACAGAAGGAAUAACCUCAGCUUACCUGGGUGAUUUCUUUCAUCACUCAAAUGGUGGAAUGGCAACACAAGAGAGACAUGACACAGACGGAUGAAAGACAGUCACCUCUAGUUCUAGACAAUGCAGAAUUAGAUCCCGCAUUGCUGGAACAACUCCAGUGCACCUGAGGAACCAAUUUGGGGCCCUGGCAUUGCUGAGAGUGAGUGCAGCAACAGAGAGUGCAGCAACAUAGGCCACACCCACAACUACCACCAGGCAGGCUACAAGGCAACAGAGCAACUGGAGGAGAAGACGUCGGCAGGCCUUGGUCCAAACAGGCAAGAAUAUAU